UAGGGAAUCUUCCACAAUGGACGCAAGUCUGAUGGAGCAACGCCGCGUGAGUGAAGAAGGUUUUCGGAUCGUAAAGCUCUGUUGUUGGUGAAGAAGGAUAGAGGUAGUAACUGGCCUUUAUUUGACGGUAAUCAACCAGAAAGUCACGGCUAACUACGUGCCAGCAGCCGCGGUAAUACGUAGGUGGCAAGCGUUGUCCGGAUUUAUUGGGCGUAAAGCGAGCGCAGGCGGAAGAAUAAGUCUGAUGUGAAAGCCCUCGGCUUAACCGAGGAACUGCAUCGGAAACUGUUUUUCUUGAGUGCAGAAGAGGAGAGUGGAAUUCCAUGUGUAGCGGAGGAAUGCGUAGAUAUAUGGAAGAACACCAGUGGCGAAGGCGACUCUCUGGUCUGCAAAUGACGCUGAGGCUCGAAAGCAUGGGUAGCGAACAGG
rnacentral:rRNA from 1 species